rnacentral:rRNA from 1 species
GACGAACGCUGGCGGCGUGCUUAACACAUGCAAGUCGAACGGAAAGGCCCUGCUUUUGUGGGGUGCUCGAGUGGCGAACGGGUGAGUAACACGUGAGUAACCUGCCCUUGACUUUGGGAUAACUUCAGGAAACUGGGGCUAAUACCGGAUAGGAGCUCCUGCUGCAUGGUGGGGGUUGGAAAGUUUCGGCGGUUGGGGAUGGACUCGCGGCUUAUCAGCUUGUUGGUGGGGUAGUGGCUUACCAAGGCUUUGACGGGUAGCCGGCCUGAGAGGGUGACCGGCCACAUUGGGACUGAGAUACGGCCCAGACUCCUACGGGAGGCAGCAGUGGAGAAUAUUGCACAAUGGGCGGAAGCCAGAUGCAGCAACGCCGCGUGCGGGAUGACGGCCUUCGGGUUGUAAACCGCUUUCGCCUGUGACGAAGCGUGAGUGACGGUAAUGGGUAAAGAAGCACCGGCUAACUACGUG